rnacentral:rRNA from 1 species
AGUGAACGCUGGCGGUAGGCCUAACACAUGCAAGUCGAACGGCAGCACAGUAAGAGCUUGCUCUUACGGGUGGCGAGUGGCGGACGGGUGAGGAAUACAUCGGAAUCUACUUUUUCGUGGGGGAUAACGUAGGGAAACUUACGCUAAUACCGCAUACGACCUACGGGUGAAAGCAGGGGAUCUUCGGACCUUGCGCGAUUGCAUGAGCCGAUGUCGGAUUAGCUGGUUGGCGGGGUAAAGGCCCACCAAGGCGACGAUCCGUAGCUGGUCUGAGAGGAUGAACAGCCACCUGGGAACUGAGACACGGUCAAGACUCCUACGGGAGGCAGCAGUGGGGAAUAUUGGACAAUGGGCGCAAGCCUGAUCCAGCCAUACCGCGUGGGUGAAGAAGGCCUUCGGGUUGUAAAGCCCUUUUGUUGGGAAAGAAAAGCAGCAGGUUAAUACCCCGCUGUUCUGACGGUACCCAAAGAAUAAGCACCGGCUAACUUCGUG